rnacentral:lncRNA from 1 species
AAGUCCAGUGCUAACCUGUGGGUGAAUGAACAAUGACCGGGGAACAGGGCCCUAAGGUCCUGGCUAAUGCUGGGAAAACACCAAGCUGAAGAAGACAUGUUUCCUGCCCUCCAGCAAAGAGAUAGAGUCCAAGCAAAUAACUACAACAGAUGUGAACGCGGAAGCACAAAGGAAGGAGAAGCUAAUGCUUCCUGGGAGAGGUGACAUUUCUUCUGGGUUUCGAUACUUCUUCUAGUCCUCUCACAUCUUAAAUCUCCAUUCUCAGUAUUCUCAGUGGAGCAUUUUAUUCUGCUUCUAUGAUUUGGGGCAAAAAGAAGAGAAUCUUGAUGAAGUACUUCUAGAAAGACUGGCCGAAAAGACUCUGAAAGACUUUCUCAGGAGUAAGAAACAACACAACUUUCUUAAUAUUCCUGUGCUGUUUUCACAUGCAAAAAAUAUUUUCCCCCUCCUACCUCAUCGGUAGGGCAAUGGACAAAAUGGCUUUUCUUAUAGUAAAUAGCAUGUUCCAUGUAAAACGAGGCCAUGAUCUCCCUUUUUUGCACUUCAAAAUAUUUUAAAAUUGCUGGAUUAUUUUUUCCUCUCCAUUCUUCCUUCUGUGGCUUGACAAUUACUAAAGCUGGUAUGAUUGGUAACACGACUCAAGUUAGAGGAAGUCUUUUUUUUCUUGAGAUGGAGUCUGGCUCUGUCUCCCAGGUUGGAGUGCAGCAACUGCGAACUCGGCUCACUGCAAACUAGAGGAGGCCUUUUUUUUAAAAUCAAAGAGCCUCUUUUAAAAUUAUCACCCAUUGGGAAUAUGCUGUGGGGAGGUCUCUCACAGCAGUGUGAAAGAGCACAUUAUCUUUUUUUUUUUUUUUUUUUUUGAGACUGAGUUUCGCUCUGUCACCCAGGCUGGAGUGCAGUGACGUGAUCUCGGCUCACUGCAAGCUCUGCCUCCCGGGUUCACGCCAUUCUCCUGCCUCAGCCUCCCGAGUAGCUGGGACUACAGGCGCCCGCCACCACGCCAGGCUAAUUUUUUGUAUUUUUAGACGGGGUUUCACCGUGUUAGCCAGGAUGAUCUCGAUCUUCUGACCUCGUGAUCCGCCCGUCUCAGCCUCCCAAAGUGCUGGGAUUACAGGCGUGAGCCACCGCGCCCGGCAAGAGCACAUUAUCUUGUAUGUGCCUGUAGCCCAUCUGCAGACAUGAAACCCAAGUCCCUGUUCUCCCAGGUGCAAUGGAAACAUCUCCACUCCUGCGGAUGAACUGAAUAAGGGAUAGUGAAGCAUAUUUUUAAAUGUUUGCUAUUGCUCGUUAGCCACAGUAGGAAUUUCAAUACCAGUGGCAGUGGGAUCCCUCAUUUUAUUGUAGAUGCCUUUUUUCAUUUCAGCUUACAAAGCUUCCCUCCGUUGGAGGGUGGGGGCCAGAGAAAUAAAAUGGAAGGCAAAGGGGGGAUGCGCUGCGAUUUUUCUGCUCAUUGUCUCAUUUUGAAACUGCCCCAACUGUAUAGAACUUCUAGGAAGCCCGUACAUGUCGGCACAUUCCCGGGGAAGAAUGCUUCUCUUAGGAGCCAGUGCCUUAAGAAGUUUCUUCCAUGUUGCACUGGCGUGCAUGUCUGCUUAAAUCGCCACUCUCCUCAUGACAUUUGGCAGGACUAGGAAGUUCACGUGUCAGUCCCGAUAUUGGCCCACGUGACCCCAUCCCCAAAGACAGGCAAUGAACCCCUGUGUUUUUAUGCCAUAUGAACUGAGAAGUAGACGCAUUCUGUGUAAUGGAUACACACUGAGGCUGCAAUUUUUGAAAAGUCAUUGUUUUGACUUCCCUAUAUUCACAUCGAAUAACGCUUUUAGUCUUUGCCCUCAGUACUCUAGAAGGGGCUAUAUAGCCUGUUUUUGUAUUUGUGGGAAAAAGACUAGAAGCUGGGCAAAAUGCCACCAGGAAGACUAACAUGGCGACAUGAUCCCAAGGGAAACUGAGGUCUCACACUGUCCAGCAACAGAAGGAGGUUGAAUUCUGGAGGAGGUUUAAUUUUUUAAAAACUCAAACUAAUAAAAGAUGUUCACAAAUAUU